rnacentral:rRNA from 1 species
CCUACGGGAGGCAGCAGUGAGGAAUAUUGGUCAAUGGGCGGGAGCCUGAACCAGCCAAGCCGCGUGAGGGAAGAAGGUACAGCGUAUCGUAAACCUCUUUUGUCAGGGAACAAAGUCGGGGACUCGUCCCCCGAUGCGUGUACCUUAAGAACAAGCAUCGGCUAACUCCGUGCCAGCAGCCGCGGUAAUCCGGGGGAUGCGAGCGUUAUCCGGUGUUUUUGGGUUAAAGGGGUGCGCAGGCGGCCUGUUAAGUCAGCGGGAAAAGCCCGGGGCUCAACCCCGGCGAGCCGUUGAAACUGGGGGGCUGGAGUGGGAGAGAGGUACGCGGAAUGCGCGGUGUAGCGGUGAAAUGCUUAGAUAUCGCGCAGAACCCCGAUUGCGAAGGCAGCGUACCGG